GAUGAAGAACGUAGCGAAAUGCGAUAAGUAGUGUGAAUUGCAGAAUUCCGUGAAUCAUCGAAUCUUUGAACGCACAUUGCGCCUCCUGGUACUCCGGGGGGCAUGCCUGUCCGAGCGUCAUUGCUGCCCUCAAGCACGGCUUGUGUGUUGGGCCUCCGUCCUCCUCCCGGGGGACGGGCCCGAAAGGCAGCGGCGGCACCGCGUCCGGUCCUCGAGCGUAUGGGGCUUCGUCACCCGCUCUUGUAGGCCCGGCCGGCGCUUGCCGACACAUCAAUCUUUUUUCCAGGUUGACCUCGGAUCAGGUAGGGAUACCCGCUGAACUUAAGCAUAUCAAUAAGCGGAGGA
rnacentral:misc_RNA from 1 species